rnacentral:misc_RNA from 1 species
GAUGAAGAACGCAGCGAAAUGCGAUAAGUAAUGUGAAUUGCAGAAUUCAGUGAAUCAUCGAAUCUUUGAACGCACAUUGCGCCCGUCAGUAUUCUGGCGGGCAUGCCUGUUCGAGCGUCAUUACGCCCCUCAAGUCCCCUGUGGACUUGGUGUUGGGGAUCGGCGAGGCUGGUUUUCCAGCACAGCCGUCCCUUAAAUUAAUUGGCGGUCUCGCCGUGGCCCUCCUCUGCGCAGUAGUAAAACACUCGCAACAGGAGCCCGGCGCGGUCCACUGCCGUAAAACCCCCCAACUUUUUAUAGUUGACCUCGAAUCAGGUAGGAAUACCCGCUGAACUUAAGCAUAUCAAUAAGCGGAGGA